CAAGAGAAAGCCAAACCUGCCGUAAGGUAGGGACGAGGAAUCACAGAUUUCUUUGAAAUAGCCGAGUUGCCUUGA
ncrna:unclassified sequences c-di-GMP-I-GGC riboswitch